rnacentral:rRNA from 1 species
GACGAACGCUGGCGGCGUGCUUAAAACAUGCAAGUCGAACGGACUUCUCAUGAAGCUUGCGAUUGAGAAGUUAGUGGCGGACGGGUGAGUAACGCGUGGGCAACCUGCCCCUGAGCCCGGGAUAACAGUUCGAAAGGACUGCUAAGACCGGAUAUACUUGCGGGGAAGCAUUUCUCUGUAAGGAAAGGGAACGCUCAGGGAUGGGCCCGCGUCCCAUUAGCUAGUUGGUGAGGUAACGGCCCACCAAGGCGACGAUGGGUAGCCGGCCUGAGAGGGUGAACGGCCACACUGGGACUGAGACACGGCCCAGACUCCUACGGGAGGCAGCAGUUGGGAAUCUUCGGCAAUGGGCGCAAGCCUGACCGAGCAACGCCGCGUGAGUGAUGAAGGUUUUCGGAUUGUAAAGCUCUGUCUUCCGGGACGAUAAUGACGGUACCGGAGGAGGAAGCCACGGCUAACUACGUGCCAGCAGCCGCGGUAAGCAUACUCGUA